GACGAACGCUGGCGGCGUGCUUAACACAUGCAAGUCGAACGGAAAGGCCCUGCUUUUGUGGGGUGCUCGAGUGGCGAACGGGUGAGUAACACGUGAGUAACCUGCCCUUGACUUUGGGAUAACUUCAGGAAACUGGGGCUAAUACCGGAUAGGAGCUCCUGCUGCAUGGUGGGGGUUGGAAAGUUUCGGCGGUUGGGGCUGGACUCGCUGCUUAUCCGCUUGUUGGUGGGGUAGUGGCUUACCAAGGUUUUGACGGGUAGGCGGCCUGAGAGGGUGACCGGCCACAUUGGGACUGAGAUACGGCCCAGAAUCCUACGGGAGGCAGCAGUGGGGAAUAUUGCACAAUGGGCGGAAGCCUGAUGCAGCAACGCCGCGUGCGGGAUGACGGCCUUCGGGUUGUAAACCGCUUUCGCCUGUGACGAAGCGUGAGUGACGGUAAUGGGUAAAGAAGCACCGGCUAACUACGUG
rnacentral:rRNA from 1 species